rnacentral:tRNA from 1 species
GGCCGCGUGGCCUAAUGGCUAAGGCGCUAGAUUUCGGCUCUUAUACCUCCUCUAGAGAUUCCAGGUUCGACUCCUGGCGUGGUCG